rnacentral:rRNA from 1 species
GACGAACGCUGGCGGCGUGCCUAAUACAUGCAAGUAGAACGCUGAAGAGAGGAGCUUGCUCUUCUUGGAUGAGUUGCGAACGGGUGAGUAACGCGUAGGUAACCUGCCUGGUAGCGGGGGAUAACUAUUGGAAACGAUAGCUAAUACCGCAUAAAAUUGAUUAUUGCAUGAUAAUUAAUUGAAAGAUGCAAUUGCAUCACUACCAGAUGGACCUGCGUUGUAUUAGCUAGUUGGUGAGGUAACGGCUCACCAAGGCGACGAUACAUAGCCGACCUGAGAGGGUGAUCGGCCACACUGGGACUGAGACACGGCCCAGACUCCUACGGGAGGCAGCAGUAGGGAAUCUUCGGCAAUGGGGGGAACCCUGACCGAGCAACGCCGCGUGAGUGAAGAAGGUUUUCGGAUCGUAAAGCUCUGUUGUAAGAGAAGAACGGGUGUGAGAGUGGAAAGUUCA